rnacentral:tRNA from 2 species
GUACCCUUAGUUCAGUUGGUUAGAGCAGACGGCUUAUAACCGUCCGAGCGUAGGUUCGAGUCCUACAGGGUACA